CCUACGGGAGGCAGCAGUCGAGAAUCAUUCACAAUGGGGGAAACCCUGAUGGUGCGACGCCGCGUGGGGGAAUGAAGGUCUUCGGAUUGUAAACCCCUGUCAUGUGGGAGCAAAUUAAAAAGAUAGUACCACAAGAGGAAGAGACGGCUAACUCUGUGCCAGCAGCCGCGGUAAUACAGAGGUCUCAAGCGUUGUUCGGAAUCACUUGGCGUAAGGCGUGCGUAGGCUGUUGCGUAAGUCGUGUGUGAAAGGCGCGGGCUCAACCCGAGGACGGCACAUGAUACUGCGAGACUAGAGUAAUGGAGGGGGAGCCGGAAUUCGCGGUGUAGCAGUGAAAUGCUUAGAUAUCGAGAGGAACACUCGUGGCGAAGGCGGGUUCCUGGACAUUAACUGACGCUGAGGCACGAAGGCCAGGGGAGCGAAAGGGAUUAGAUACCCUGGUAGUC
rnacentral:rRNA from 1 species